rnacentral:rRNA from 1 species
AAGUGGAGCAAUCCAUGAGUAGAGUGGCAAACGGGUGAGUAACGCGUGGGCGACCUACCUUCGAGUGGGGGAUAACCUUCCGAAAGGAGGGCUAAUACCGCAUGACAUCCCGUGUUUGGAUACACGGACAUCAAAGCCGGGGAUCGCAAGACCUGGCGCUUGGAGAGGGGCCCGCGUCCGAUUAGCUAGUUGGUGGGGUAACGGCUCACCAAGGCUCCGAUCGGUAUCCGGCCUGAGAGGGCGGACGGACACACUGGAACUGAGACACGGUCCAGACUCCUACGGGAGGCAGCAGUGGGGAAUUGUUCGCAAUGGGCGCAAGCCUGACGACGCAACGCCGCGUGGAGGAUGAAGACCUUCGGG